rnacentral:rRNA from 1 species
GGGUUGUGAGGUUAAGCGACUAAGCGUACACGGUGGAUGCCCUGGCAGUCAGAGGCGAUGAAGGACGUGCUAAUCUGCGAUAAGCGUCGGUAAGGUGAUAUGAACCGUUAUAACCGGCGAUUUCCGAAUGGGGAAACCCAGUGUGUUUCGACACACUAUCAUUAACUGAAUCCAUAGGUUAAUGAGGCGAACCGGGGGAACUGAAACAUCUAAGUACCCCGAGGAAAAGAAAUCAACCGAGAUUCCCCCAGUAGCGGCGAGCGAACGGGGAGCAGCCCAGAGCCUGAAUCAGUGUGUGUGUUAGUGGAAGCGUCUGGAAAGGCGCGCGAUACAGGGUGACAGCCCCGUACACAAAAAUGCACAUAUUGUGAGCUCGAUGAGUAGGGCGGGACACGUGGUAUCCUGUCUGAAUAUGGGGGGACCAUCCUCCAAGGCUAAAUACUCCUGACUGACCGAUAGUGAACCAGUACCGUGAGGGAAAGGCGAAAAGAACCCCGGCGAGGGGAGUGAAAAAGAACCUGAAACCGUGUACGUACAAGCAGUGGGAGCACGCUUAGGCGUGUGACUGCGUACCUUUUGUAUAAUGGGUCAGCGACUUAUAUUCUGUAGCAAGGUUAACCGAAUAGGGGAGCCGAAGGGAAACCGAGUCUUAACUGGGCGUUAAGUUGCAGGGUAUAGACCCGAAACCCGGUGAUCUAGCCAUGGGCAGGUUGAAGGUUGGGUAACACUAACUGGAGGACCGAACCGACUAAUGUUGAAAAAUUAGCGGAUGACUUGUGGCUGGGGGUGAAAGGCCAAUCAAACCGGGAGAUAGCUGGUUCUCCCCGAAAGCUAUUUAGGUAGCGCCUCGUGAAUUCAUCUCCGGGGGUAGAGCACUGUUUCGGCAAGGGGGUCAUCCCGACUUACCAACCCGAUGCAAACUGCGAAUACCGGAGAAUGUUAUCACGGGAGACACACGGCGGGUGCUAACGUCCGUCGUGAAGAGGGAAACAACCCAGACCGCCAGCUAAGGUCCCAAAGUCAUGGUUAAGUGGGAAACGAUGUGGGAAGGCCCAGACAGCCAGGAUGUUGGCUUAGAAGCAGCCAUCAUUUAAAGAAAGCGUAAUAGCUCACUGGUCGAGUCGGCCUGCGCGGAAGAUGUAACGGGGCUAAACCAUGCACCGAAGCUGCGGCAGCGACACUGUGUGUUGUUGGGUAGGGGAGCGUUCUGUAAGCCUGUGAAGGUGUGCUGUGAGGCAUGCUGGAGGUAUCAGAAGUGCGAAUGCUGACAUAAGUAACGAUAAAGCGGGUGAAAAGCCCGCUCGCCGGAAGACCAAGGGUUCCUGUCCAACGUUAAUCGGGGCAGGGUGAGUCGACCCCUAAGGCGAGGCCGAAAGGCGUAGUCGAUGGGAAACAGGUUAAUAUUCCUGUACUUGGUGUUACUGCGAAGGGGGGACGGAGAAGGCUAUGUUGGCCGGGCGACGGUUGUCCCGGUUUAAGCGUGUAGGCUGGUUUUCCAGGCAAAUCCGGAAAAUCAAGGCUGAGGCGUGAUGACGAGGCACUACGGUGCUGAAGCAACAAAUGCCCUGCUUCCAGGAAAAUCCUCUAAGCAUCAGGUAACAUCAAAUCGUACCCCAAACCGACACAGGUGGUCAGGUAGAGAAUACCAAGGCGCUUGAGAGAACUCGGGUGAAGGAACUAGGCAAAAUGGUGCCGUAACUUCGGGAGAAGGCACGCUGAUAUGUAGGUGAAGCGACUUGCUCGUGGAGCUGAAAUCAGUCGAAGAUACCAGCUGGCUGCAACUGUUUAUUAAAAACACAGCACUGUGCAAACACGAAAGUGGACGUAUACGGUGUGACGCCUGCCCGGUGCCGGAAGGUUAAUUGAUGGGGUCAGCGCAAGCGAAGCUCUUGAUCGAAGCCCCGGUAAACGGCGGCCGUAACUAUAACGGUCCUAAGGUAGCGAAAUUCCUUGUCGGGUAAGUUCCGACCUGCACGAAUGGCGUAAUGAUGGCCAGGCUGUCUCCACCCGAGACUCAGUGAAAUUGAACUCGCUGUGAAGAUGCAGUGUACCCGCGGCAAGACGGAAAGACCCCGUGAACCUUUACUAUAGCUUGACACUGAACAUUGAGCCUUGAUGUGUAGGAUAGGUGGGAGGCUUAGAAGUGUGGACGCCAGUCUGCAUGGAGCCGACCUUGAAAUACCACCCUUUAAUGUUUGAUGUUCUAACGUUGACCCGUAAUCCGGGUUGCGGACAGUGUCUGGUGGGUAGUUUGACUGGGGCGGUCUCCUCCUAAAGAGUAACGGAGGAGCACGAAGGUUGGCUAAUCCUGGUCGGACAUCAGGAGGUUAGUGCAAUGGCAUAAGCCAGCUUGACUGCGAGCGUGACGGCGCGAGCAGGUGCGAAAGCAGGUCAUAGUGAUCCGGUGGUUCUGAAUGGAAGGGCCAUCGCUCAACGGAUAAAAGGUACUCCGGGGAUAACAGGCUGAUACCGCCCAAGAGUUCAUAUCGACGGCGGUGUUUGGCACCUCGAUGUCGGCUCAUCACAUCCUGGGGCUGAAGUAGGUCCCAAGGGUAUGGCUGUUCGCCAUUUAAAGUGGUACGCGAGCUGGGUUUAGAACGUCGUGAGACAGUUCGGUCCCUAUCUGCCGUGGGCGCUGGAGAACUGAGGGGGGCUGCUCCUAGUACGAGAGGACCGGAGUGGACGCAUCACUGGUGUUCGGGUUGUCAUGCCAAUGGCACUGCCCGGUAGCUAAAUGCGGAAGAGAUAAGUGCUGAAAGCAUCUAAGCACGAAACUUGCCCCGAGAUGAGUUCUCCCUGACCCUUUAAGGGUCCUGAAGGAACGUUGAAGACGACGACGUUGAUAGGCCGGGUGUGUAAGCGCAGCGAUGCGUUGAGCUAACCGGUACUAAUGAACCGUGAGGCUUAACCUUACAACGCCGAAG